GAUGAAGGAACGUAGCGAAAUGCGAUAAGUAAUGUGAAUUGCAGAAUUCAGUGAAUCAUCGAAUCUUUGAACGCACAUUGCGCCCGCCAGUAUUCUGGCGGGCAUGCCUGUCCGAGCGUCAUUUCAACCCUCGAACCCCUCCGGGGGGUCGGCGUUGGGGAUCGGCCCCUCACCGGGCCGCCCCCGAAAUCCAGUGGCGGUCUCGCCGCAGCCUCUCCUGCGCAGUAGUUUGCACACUCGCACCGGGAGCGCGGCGCGGCCACAGCCGUAAAACACCCCAAACUCUGAAAUGUUGACCUCGGAUCAGGUAGGAAUACCCGCUGAACUUAAGCAUAUCAAUAAGCGGAGGA
rnacentral:misc_RNA from 1 species